rnacentral:rRNA from 1 species
AUCGCCUGGGAACUACGAGCAAAGCUUAAAACCCAAAGGACUUGACGGUACCCCACAUCCACCUAGAGGAGCCUGUCCUAUAAUCGAUAACCCCCGCUUAACCUCACCAUUUUUAGCCUAUCAGCCUGUAUACCUCCGUCGCCAGCUUACCACGUGAGCGGCCCUCAGUGAGCUUAAUGUUUAUACACCAACACGUCAGGUCAAGGUGCAGCAGAUAAAAUGGGAAGAGAUGGGCUACACUCUCUAUUCUAGAAAACACGGAAGACUAUUUAUGAAACCUAGUCAGAAGGCGGAUUUAGUAGUAAAAAGAGACAAGAGUGCUCUUUUUAACAUGGCACUGGGGUGUGUACACACCGCCCGUCACCCUCUUCAAGGCUAAUAUAAAGUCCCUAACACACCUAAGCACUACAGAAGAGGCAAGUCGUAACAUGGUAAGUAUACCGGAAGGUGUGCUUGGAAA